rnacentral:rRNA from 1 species
UAAACGAUGUCAACUGGUUGUUGGGUCUCUUCUGACUCAGUANCGAAGCUAACGCGUAAGUUGACCGCCUGGGGAGUACGCCCGCAAGGUUGAAACUCAAAGAAUUGACGGGGACCCGCACAAGCGGUGGAUGAUGUGGUUUAAUUCGAUGCAACGCGAAAANCCUUACCCACCUUUGACAUGUACGGAAUUUGCCAGAGAUGGCUUAGUGCUCGAAAGAGAGCCGUAACACAGGUGCUGCAUGGCUGUCGUCAGCUCGUGUCGUGAGAUGUUGGGUUAAGUCCCGCAACGAGCGCAACCCUUGUCAUUAGUUGCUACGAAAGGGCACUCUAAUGAGACUGCCGGUGACAAACCGGAGGAAGGUGGGGAUGACGUCAAGUCCUCAUGGCCCUUAUAGGUGGGGCUACACACGUCAUACAAUGGCCGGUACAAAGGGUCGCAAACCCGCGAGGGGGAGCCAAUCCAUCAAAGCCGGUCGUAGUCCGGAUCGCAGUCUGCAACUCGACUGCGUGAAGUCGGAAUCGCUAGUAAUCGUGGAUCAGCAUGUCACGGUGAAUACGUUCCCGGGUCUUGUACACACCGCCCGUCACACCAUGGGAGCGGGUCUCGCCAGAAGUAGUUAGCCUAACCGCAAGGAGGGCGAUUACCACGGCGGGGUUCGUGACUGGGGUGAAGUCGUAACAAGGUAACC